GAACGCGAAGAACCUUACCAAGGCUUGACAUGCACGGCGGCACUGCAGAGAUGUGGUGGCAUUUAGUUGGUCGUGUGCAGGUGGUGCAUGGUUGUCGUCAGCUCGUGUCGUGAGAUGUUGGGUUAAGUCCCGCAACGAGCGCAACCCUUGCCCUAUGUUGCCAGCACGUGAUGGUGGGGACUCGUGGGGGACUGCCGGGGUUAACUCGGAGGAAGGUGGGGAUGACGUCAAAUCAUCAUGCCCCUUAUGUCUUGGGCUUCACGCAUGCUACAAUGGUUGGUACAGAGGGUUGCGAUAUCGUGAGGUGGAGCGAAUCCCUUAAAGCCAGUCUCAGUUCGGAUUGGGGUCUGCAACUCGACCCCAUGAAGGUGGAGUCGCUAGUAAUCGCAGAUCAGCAACGCUGCGGUGAAUACGUUCUCGGGUCUUGUACACACC
rnacentral:rRNA from 1 species